rnacentral:rRNA from 1 species
UACGUAGGGGCCGAGCGUUGUCCGGAGUUAUUGGGCGUAAAGCGCGCGCAGGCGGCCUCGCGCGCCCGACGUGAAAGCCCCGGGCUCAACCUGGGAAUGGCAUUGGAAACUGGCGAGCUAGAGUGUGGCAGAGGGGGGUGGAAUUCCGCGUGUAGCAGUGAAAUGCGUAGAGAUGCGGAGGAACACCGAUGGCGAAGGCAGCCCCCUGGGCUAGCACUGACGCUCAGGCACGAAAGCGUGGGGAGCAAACAGG